CAGCGACAAUGUGGCUACUCAGCAUCUGGGUUGUGUGGGCAGCAAUUCUGACAGACGGGACUCAUGGAGAUUCUGUCACUCAGCCACUCUCAUCGGAUGUUAAGACAGAAGGAGGAGAGGUGACUUUAAACUGUAACUUUGAUACUGCAAGGAGCGACUAUGCAUUGUACUGGUACCGACAAUACCCAGACACACAGCCCCAGUUUGUACUUUUAAAGGAUACCGGUAACUAUGAAGAAAAGGCAGAAUUUGCAAAAACUCGUUUCUCUUUAGAGCUCCAGGUCUCCAAUAAAUUCACCAGUUUAACCAUCUUGGAUCUGCAGCUGACUGACGCCGCCGUGUAUUACUGCGCUUUGAGACUCACAGUGAUGCAAAUCAGUCUCACCCCUGUUGGUGUCGCUCGUAACAAGUGUCCCAGUUUCCCCCAGCGAAAACAGUCCAGAAGUGGGAUUCGGUGCGGAUAA